rnacentral:rRNA from 1 species
UAAUACGUAGGUGGCAAGCGUUGUCCGGAUUUAUUGGGUUUAAAGGGUGCGUAGGCGGUCCCUUAAGUCAGUGGUGAAAUACUCUAGCUCAACUAGAGAGGUGCCAUUGAUACUGAGGGACUUGAGUGAAGUCGAAGUAGGCGGAAUUGACGGUGUAGCGGUGAAAUGCUUAGAUAUCGUCAAGAACACCGAUAGUGAAGACAGCUUACUAGACUUAUACUGACGCUGAGGCACGAAAGUGUGGGGAUCAAACAGGAUUAGAUACCCUGGUAGUCCACACUGUAAACGUUGAUUACUCGCUGUUGGCGAUACACUGCCAGCGGCUAAGCGCAAGCGAUAAGUAAUCCACCUGGGGAGUACGCCGGCAACGGUG